UUUAACCGAAUAGCCGCGGUUAUGAUUUCAUACGUAGUACCGCCCACCGCGGAACCAAAAUCUAAUUAAUUUUAAAUUACUUUCAUUAUCAGCUCCUAGCAAAGAAAGAUGCGUAGCUAAGAAGCAGUAGCAGUUUUCUGCAGGCAACUUUGUUGCAAACUAGUCUAGAAUAGUUAUUCUGCCAGGAUCUCUGAGUUUUGAACGGAGCAGGUAACCAGCCAAGGCCCCAGCGAAGGAUCAUUUCACAACAUUCGCCUCUAGCAAAGAAAGAUGCAUAACUUGGAAACAGUGACAGUUUUCUUUAUUCAACUUCGUAGCAAAGUAGUCUACAGUAGUUACUGUGUCAGGAUCUCCUGGUUUCUAAUGGAAAAGUCGACCAGCCAAGGCCAGAGCGAGGGAUCUCUUCAGAGUGUGGCAAAGAAAGGUGCACCCGUACCCCUUAGUAACAGUAACAGUUCUCUUCAAGCUACCUUGUAGCUAGUUACUCUGCCAGGACCUCCAAUCUGAACAGUCAACCAGCCAAGGACAGAGCGAGAUUUUACUUCAGAGCUGUGAUGAAUACUGGAAUUUUGUCUUGAAUCGGAGAUCGGAAAGUUUGGGCCAACAGAUUGGUUGAGAUGGUGGGAGUCCAUAGUCAGGCCAGGAGUGGAACUGCUUACAGUAAGUGGUGUGCGUGUGUGUGUGUGCGUGCGUGCGCGUGCGCGCACUUGUGUGUAUAUUUAUGUGCGUGCGUGUGUGUGUGUCUGUGUGCGUGCCCGCGCGGGUGUGUGUGUAUCUGUGUCUGUUAUGUGUGCCCGCGCGGGUGUAUGUGUGUGUAUGUGUAUCUGUGCACACGCGCGCGCUUGUGUGUAUCUGUGUGUGUGUGUGUGCCUAUGGCCCGACACAGGAAGAGCACGACAGGAGAUUGUCAGAGGUACUCUGUAAAUUGCAAGACGCAGGCCUCACCAUGUGUAAAAUGGUACUUUAUACCAUGCUAAAUAUUAUAUGCCUAGGCUUGUGUGAAGUUCCUGCUUGCUUCCAAGGUUACAAUUCAAUUAGGCUCACUACUCAAUUAGGCUCACUGUGUACAUGUACAGAGGUUGAUUGCAUAAUAAUGUUCUGACCUUUUCAGAAGAAAGAAAGAAAAAGCUUGUUGGGCUUAUGAGUGUACUGUUUAUGAGUGAGUGUACUGUCUACUUGUGUAAGGACAUUUUCUUCCCAACAUAAUAGGCUUGUUGGUUGUGUUAUGCUCCCCAGCUAGGAUUAGGUCAUAAUUUGUCAUUAGCUGGCUUGUGUGAUUAGUUGGCUUGUGUGUUUGCCUGUGAUAUGCAUUGUAAUUCUGUGCCCAAAGUUAAAUCUUUUUAUGAACUCCCAGUUUGUUGUAGGAUCACAAUUACUUUAUAUGUGCCUAUGAGUGCCAUUGCAUGUAAGUUUGCUUGUGGGAGCCUGUACAUAAUUAUGCUAAGGUUGCAUGAUUCAUAAUUAUUUGGCACCCUUGUAUGAGAUGUACUGUACUUUGUGUAUGGCCAUUCUCAAUAUACUUUUUUAGGUUUGUUGGCUUGUGAGUUAGUGCUGUGUACUAAGUUUUAGUGUGCUGUCUGUUAUAGCAAUUCAAUUAUAAUUAUGUGGCUGAAUGUUAUUAUUCAAUAAUUAUUUAGUGUGUGUAUUGAUUGCAUGAUAAUCUUUUGAUCUUUUAGGCACCACCCCAAACAAAGGUACAUUUAAAAUUCAAUUUCUUUAUGGCUGGCUUGUUGGCUGGUGUUUGUCUCUGAGGAGGUUAUGUUCUACUGUGUGUAAGAACAAUUGAUUCUAGAGGUGGUCUGCUUGGUUGGUAAUACUCCUUCUUCCUCAUGCAGGUCUGUGAAACUAUCGUUACUGCUAUCUGCCAUGGAACCACCACCACCUUAUGGGUUUGAGAAGGUCUACUCACUGUGACUACUAUCCAGGAUACCUAGGAGUACCUCAUCCCUUGUGUGCAGAGGCCUCUUAGUCAUUGUUGUACUAUAGAAUUAAUUGUAAUUGUAUUUAUUAUAAUGUAUGUUCACUUUUGAGAUUGAUAUUGAAAUACAAAUUUCACAUGAAAAUUUCAGCAAAUUUU